rnacentral:rRNA from 1 species
GAUGAACGCUGGCGGCAUGCCUAAUACAUGCAAGUCGUGCGGAAACACUUCGGGUGUCGAGCGGCGGACGGGUGAGUAACACGUUAGUAUCUACCCCAAACUGAGGGAUAAGCCCGAGAAAUCGGGUCUAAUACCGCAUAUGGUCUUUGGAUUAAAGCCUUCGGGCGGUUUGGGAGGAGCUUGCGUCUGAUUAGCUAGUUGGUAAGGUAAUGGCUUACCAAGGCUACGAUCAGUAGCUGGUCUGAAAGGAUGAUCAGCCACACUGGAACUGAGACACGGUCCAGACUCCUACGGGAGGCAGCAGUAGGGAAUUUUCCACAAUGGGCGAAAGCCUGAUGGAGCAAUGCCGCGUGCAGGAUGAAUGCCUUCGGGUUGUAAACUGCUUUUAUGAGGGAAGAUUAUGACGGUACCUCAUGAAUAAGCCUCGGCUAACUCCGUGCCAGCAGCCGCCGUAA